rnacentral:rRNA from 1 species
UACGGAGGAUGCAAGUGUUAUCCGGAAUCACUGGGCGUAAAGCGUCUGUAGGUGGUCAAAUAAGUCAACUGUUAAAUCUUGAGGCUCAACCUCAAAAUCGCAGUCGAAACUAUUCGACUAGAGUAUAGUAGGGGUAAAGGGAAUUUCCAGUGGAGCGGUGAAAUGCGUAGAGAUUGAAAAGAACACCGAUGGCGAAGGCACUUUACUGGGCUAUUACUAACACUGAGAGACGAAAGCUAGGGUAGCAAAUGGG